CUUGAUAACUUUUACGUCGGAUUUGUACCUUGAGCAGAUGGCGAUGAGUCCCUCUCCAGGACAAGUUGCCAAAAACUAGGGACGAUCACAAUCAACAUACAU